CAAUAGUUGGAAUAAAUAGAGUAAAACUUCAAGGAAAAGAAAAGGUCAUUCUGUAGAAACAAAUAUCAAAAAUAGGUCAGUAGGCUGUUUCAUAAACCUUUCUUUGUACUGCUCUGGUAAUGAUAAAGGUUAUUCAAGACCCAGAAAGAGUCCCAAAGGUUACCCCUUUGGAAAAACCCACCACCACUGGAUCAAUAUUGUUCCACAGCAUUGUGUGGAAACCAGAGUAUUUCAGACAAUAAUGGAGCAUAGAAAGGAGGUGAGCAGCAACCUACAAAGCACCGGGGAUAAAGCUGGCCCUGCAGGCCCCAGGGCCAGCUGUGGUGGCUGUGGCAUAGCUGCCUGGGCAGCCCUGUGCAGACAGCUCUGACCCCUGACUCCUGCUGGAGCCUUGGCAAACCCCUCUGCAGCAGCUGCUCUGCUGCUCACACAGAGUUCCUUGGGCACUUUAUAUUUGCAUUAAAGCUUUUUGCCCUCUCAGCCUGCAGAGCUGCAAGAAUUUCUCAGUUAAGAUUCUAAAUUACAUUUAAAAAUGCGGGGGGAAAACAAUCCAUCCUCUUAAGAAGUUUUUGUGUCCCUAGAGUGCUGAGGUUGCCAGGCUGGUUGUGCAGGAGAGAAGAGAAACACUGGUUCUCUGGUUUUGGGCAGGUGGUCUGUGAAAUUUCUCUAACUGCCUUUUCCCCCUUCCAAAACAGGUCUUGGUUAAAGUUAGUAGCUUUUUGUAGAACAUUCCUACAAUGUACUGUGCCUGUCUUAAUGUGAGCUAUAGAAAUUUCAGUCUAUAUGGACUUGGGCUGCAAGCCUGCUUAGGUAGAAAUCCAUGACUGUUCUGUGUUUUGUUUCCUUCAGUACUCCAUUGGGAAGUUAGAGGGCAUCAUGUCUGAAGAGAUUUGGCCUCUCAGAAAUGCAGCCCAGCUUCUGAUCAGACUGAGAUGUGUGGGCAGGCCCCAGCCAGGCUACAGGAGUGACUGAACACAGAUUACCUCCUCCUGGUCCUCCCACAGGCAAUGUACCUCUGGCAAAAAGAGAAUGCACAAAAUUCCUUCACUGUACAGAGAUCUUUGAGUCUGCAAAGUGUCCCUUCUGUAAUUGCCUUGUUCCCUCAGUAGUUGUGGAGGAAUUUCAGCCCAAGAAGCUCUGGUGAGGCUUCAGAGGUACUUGGAAAAGUGUUGAUAUUCCUAUACAUCACUGAGUACUCAUUGCCAGUGCAUUCCCAUUUCUCAUCAUUCUAAGAAUUUCUGAAAGUCUAGGAAAUAAUCUGUAUGUCAUUGCAGUUUAUUUGGAUAUUUAUCAUCGUAAAGUUUAGGAGAUUAAUUAUUUGUGCAAUAAAAUUAAUCUUUGUAAAUAGGUUCUAUUGCACAUGCUAUUUUUUCUUCAUCAGAGGAGUUAACCUCUACUACCAAAAUCCACCAUAAACUGUAAAAAUUAAAGAGAACACUAAAACCAUAGUACUUAAAAAGACACAAAUCAAUUUAAAAUUAACAAUAAGCUUUC